UACGUAGGGGGCAAGCGUUGUCCGGAUUUAUUGGGCGUAAAGAGCGUGUAGGCGGCCUGGAAGGUCAGCUGUGAAAACUCGAGGCUCAACCUCGAGACGUCGGUUGAAACCACCUGGCUAGAGUCCGGUAGGGGAGUGUGGAAUUCCCGGUGUAGCGGUGAAAUGCGCAGAGAUCGGGAGGAACACCCGUAGCGAAGGCGGCACUCUGGGCCGGUACUGACGCUGAGGAGCGAAAGCGUGGGGAGCAAACAGGG
rnacentral:rRNA from 1 species